rnacentral:lncRNA from 1 species
UGGGAUCCAGGGUUCUGGCUUUGAAAGGCUCCAGACAGGCUCAUGGUGUGCAGACACACAUGCAAGCAGAACUCUCAUACACAGAAACCUGGAAUCUUUAAAGUUCAUGGAGAGCUGUGGCAAUGCAGCAAGUCCCAGCUGUGGUGAGUCCUUCCUUGUGUGUGUUCUGUCCUCUGUGUAUAUGCUUUUAAACUUGUUAGUGUCGGAGGGUCCACUAGGAUUUCAUUUGCAUUUGAUAGGAACAAAUACAUUGUGUGUGUGUGGGGGGGGGAUAGUGGUUUCUGUUAACAUUCAUUUAUUUUGUUAAAAAAAAAAAAACUCAAAAAUUACUAGAAAUAAAUUAUUCCAGACUGACCACGUACCUGUGCAGUAGGCAUCCUGCAGGCCUGGGAAGUAAACUAGUACAGGGGUCAUGACCUUGAGAAACUCAUUUUGAUUUAUAAAGUACAGAGAUUUUAGUUUAAGGAAUCAAAAUCUGAUUAAAAAGGAAAUGGCUAGGCUGGGCAUGGUGGCACAUGUCUUUAAUCCCAGCACUCAGGAGGCAGAGGCAGGCGGAUUUCUGAGUUCGAGGCCAGCCUGGUCUACAAAGUGAGUUCCAGGAUAGCCAGGGCUACAC